AAUCCAUGAUGUGGACAAGAUCUUAAUAGCACUUUAUACCUUUCCUAGGUGUCUAAAAGGGACUCACCAUCCUGUUGAGUGAACCUAGUAAUUUGGUUACGUAGGAC